CCGACAAGAUAGUUGAAGUAUUGAUAACACCAAGCAAAGCUGUCCCUGUUUGAAAAGAUAAGCCAGCUUGAUUCCCAGGCACUAGAGGAAAAGCAGGAAAAAUGGCAUUGCACCAUCAUCACUUCAUCACAAGAAGAAGAAGGUUUUCACAUUCCAGCAUCCCAUGAGAAUUUUUGUGAAUGAUGAAUGCCAUGUGAUGGCAUUCCUCAGUGUACCCAACGCAAGAGGAGCUGGAGGCUGUGUAGAACAUGGUUUCCCACAAUGAACGGGCCCUCAAGGCUGUGUCUGAUUGGAUUGAUGAGCAGGAGAAGGGCAGCAGUGAACCCUCUGAUGCCGAAAAUAUGGAUGCACCCCCCGAUGAUGAGAGCAAAGAAGGGACUGGGGAACAGAAGGCAGAACACAUGACUAGGACCCUGAAGGGUGUGAUGUGGGUUGGCCUGGUAGCCAAGGGUCUUCUGCUCAUGGGGAUCUGGAUCUGGAGCUGGUUCUGCUCUGUAAGGAGAAGCCCACAACUGCCCUUCUGGACAAGGUGGCUGACAACCUGGCCACUACUGUAACAGAAGACAACUACGAAAUACUCCCGUCUGUGGAUGAUGCUGCGAUUGUGAUAAAAAAUAUGAAAGAGCCCCCUUUGUCCUUGACCAUCCACCUGACAUCCCCUGUUGUUAGAGAAGAAAUGGAGAAAGUAUUAGCUGGAGAAACGCCAUCAAUCAACGACCCCUGGACAUUCUGGACAGGCAGAAAUACCUUGCUGUCUUGGUGUCCCUUCGACAUGCCAAGUGGUUCCAGGCCAGAGCCAACGGGCUGAAGUCGUGUGUCAUUGUCAUCCGUGUCCUAAGGGACUUGUGUACCCACGUGCCCACCUGGGGUCCCCUCGGAGGAUGGCCCCUGGAGCUGCUGUGUGAGAAGUCCAUUGGCGCAGCCAAAAGGCUGAUGGGUGCUGGCGAGGCCCUGCGGAGAGUACUGGAGUGCCUGGCAUCUGGCAUCGUGAUGCCAAAUGGUUCUGGCACUUAUGACCCUUGUGAAAAAGAAGCCACGGAUGCUAUUGGGCAUCUAGGCAGACAGCAAUGGGAAGAUAUCACACAGAGUGUGCAGCAUGCCCUGUGUCUUGCUGCAUUUGGCCAGCUCCAUAAAGUCCUGGGGAUGGACCCCUUGCCUUCCAAGAUGCCCAAGAAACCAAAGAAUGAGAACCUAGUGGACUAUAUUGUUCAAAUUCCUUCUAGUACCACCUAUGCCAUCAUGCCCAUGAAAUGCCCCAUGGAGGAGGAUGGGGAGGAGAAGUCCCCCAGUAAAAAGAAGAAGAAGAUCCAAAAGAAAGAAGAGGAGGUGGAGCCUCCCCAGGCAAUGAGUGCUCUAAUGAGGCUGAACCAGCUGAAGCCAGGCCUGCAGUAUAAGCUGGUCUUGCAGACAGGCCCUGUCCACGCUCCUAUCUUCACUAUAUCUGUGGAGGUGGAUGGUAGUUCCUUUGAGGCCUCUGGACCCUCCAAAAAGACCGCCAAACUGCACGUGGCCAUAAAGGUGUUACAGGACAUAGGCUUGCCAACAGGUGCUGAAGGCAGAGACUUAAGCAAAGGGGAGGACUCAGCUGAGGAGUCUGAUUUGAGGCCCACAGUAGUAGCCCCACCCCCUGUGGUAGAAGCUGUUUCAACACCUAGCUCCACCUUCACUUCAGACACCACUACUGAGCAGGGCCCGAUACUGACUAAGCAUGGCAAGAACCCAGUUGUGGAGUUCAAUGAGAAGAGGCAUGGCCUCAAAUAUGAGCUCAUUUCUGAGACCAGUGGCAGCCAUGACAAGAGAUUUGUCAUAGAGGUUGAGGUGCUGAUUCAAACAAAAAGGAGGCGAAGGCUUAUGCUGCCCUUGCCACAUUGGAAAAACUUUUCCAAGAUCUCCCCUCACCCUUGAAGCCAAGAAGAAAAAAAGAACUCCAGUACCUGUCAGAGGUGGACCCAAAUUUGCUGCCAAGCCACACAACCCUGGCUUUGGUAUGGGAGACCCAAUGCACAAUGAACUUCCUCCAUCCCCUAAUUUCUGUGACUGGGCCUGA